UUUUUUUUAAAUUUUUGGUUAUUUGUUUGAUUCCCAGAGAGGAACAUAGCUUGGGGUUAUCCCUUUGUAUUUACAUAUAUCUAGUGCUUUCAAUGCUCUGGGUCAUCAUUACAUAGAGACAGAACAGGGCAGAAUGUAACUGGAACUAUUAUUUCAGAAAGGGUGAAAAAGAAGCCACACAGCUGUCUCAGUUUUGGGUUGCCCAGAUGAAUUUGAUGUGUAAGUCUCUAAUGGCAACAAACCCAUGAAGCAGUAGUAACAGAGAGAGGUUUGGGAGCGAUGUGGAAAAACCUAUGAGGCACUACAUCUAUGACUAAGAUGCCUGAUGUGCUCUCAUUAAAAGAAAAAUUCCCCACAGACAGGAUUAUUAAGAGUAUUCUUAUUUGACAUGGUUAUUAAUGAGGAGGAGGAGGGAGCAAAUUGUACAUUAAUGAACUUCACAGAGAAUAAUUCUCUGGGAUGAUCUCAGGGCUCCAGCAAGGCCAUAUCACUGGCUAAGUGAAGUGCAGUGCUAUUGUUGACUGAAACCUCUAAACAUUGCAUCCAAUCCUCUCCAAAACCACUGGCCUCAUGGGACAGUGGCCUUUCAUUGCCAGUGGGUAUAACUUGUCACCACUGCCUCUUGUCCUAUUGGAAGGCAGCACUGAGAAGAGCCUGGGCUUCUCCUCUUCAUUCCUUUCCAUCCAGUUAUUUACACUCAUUGUGAAGUUCUUCCCUAAGCCUUCUUAGCUUUAGGCUAGACAGUUCCAGCUCUCAGCUUUUCCUCUCAUGACAGAUACUCCAGUUCCUUAAUCACCUACAUGGCUCUUUGCUGGACUCAAUUUGGGAAGCAGCAGCACAAGAAGAGACAGCUCCCCAACAGCUGUUUUCCCUAGGCACAGGACAUUGUUGCAAGGUGUUAGUACGUGUAAAGCCAAUGCUGUAACUUCUCUAUGGUCGGGACUGAAAGCUGAAUCAGAGGUGUUAUCUCAGCAGAGGCGUGGCAGGAGUAGAGCAGAAGCAUCAUCUGGAAGGCAGCACCCCAUGGAGGUGAAUACAAAAAGCUGACAAUUCUUAAUUGCUGCCCCUAUGGCAGGCAGAGCCUGGAGCUUGGGUGGCUGUAAGCAAGCAGGGAGCAUAGGGAGGAAAACCCCCAGGCAGGAGUGCUGGAGGCCCCAGGUGAGACAGAGAUGAGAAGUGCCUGGGGAAUGCAGGGUGCACACAGCAAUUUGGGGCAGUACAAUCCUGACAGGGAGAUGCGUACCACCUCCUUCCCUAGGGUCUGUUCACCUUGGCUCAAGAGUCAGGGAGGAGCUGGGUGUUGAUGGCAAAGCUCCCCGUUACUGGACAAGCUGGAGUAAAGCUGUGGCUGCCAGGAAGUGUGGCUGAACUGGCGAGAGCGGGAAGGAUGCAGGGGAGAUGACUGCAGAGCUCCUAAACACAAGGACAUGUCCUCCACAUUUUAGCUGAGCAAUAAAAUGAGACAAGUGCAGUUGAGUGAACAGCAGAAAGGUCCUGACAUUUCAGAAAUCCUUUGCUGUUUUGUGUUUAAUCAAUCUGUACUAAGCCUCAAAUAUGAAAAGAAGUACUUAGGGCAAAGGUGAAUUUCAUUUUAAGGGUAAAUUGCUUUGAUGAUUGUCGAUUUGCCAAGAUCUUUUCAGCACAGAAAUGGUAUUAUUUCCCAGGCUCCCGGCAUGGUCCUAAAGGUCACAACUCACAACAACUCUCUUCCUUUCUAUUGUUCUUACAAUAAAAGCUACAAACACAAGAUGUUGCUGCUGCUUCUCGGUACCACUAGAUAAAAAACGUCUCAACAGUAUAAGUUGUUUCAUGUUCCUGGAGCUUUAUUGUAAAGGUGUAAUGAAAAUGGACCAUGAAAAGCUCAUUGUCAUUUUGCAAGAUGCCUAUUUCACUUGCAUUUAUCUCCCUUCCCUUCUCUAUGCAGUAGAGUUCAUGCUCCUUCCCAAACCACUCCCAUUACUUCUAAGUGAGAACUUCUGCCCCAUAAAAUUCUUUUCAUGAAAUACACUACAACUACAGUUUUGUGGAAAUGGUGUAAUGGAGAGAGGCAAGUCCUCACCAGGCAUUUAAAUCAGGAACAGUAAGAUUUGUGUGGGUGCCGAACUGACCUCUAGUGGCACCUACACAAUAACCUUAUGUCAGUUUCGGUUUGUUUUCUUUUCCAACUAUCGGCAGGUAGGCUAUGAAGUAUCAUCACACAAUAUUCCACAGCGGAUGUGUGUCAGCAUUUUGCGAACUGACGGAACUUAAGCAGCGCGCACUCUGUGGGUACAGCUUCCCACGGAGCAAACCGGCUGAGCGCACACUGUGACUCCGCUGUGCUUUGCUGGACCAGACCGGCCGGUGGGAGCCCAGCCGCCGCACGGACAAUGCCAUCAGCCGGGAGCACCGCGCCAGCACGGACCCAGCGCAGCCUCCUCGCCAAGAGGUGCCAGCACCUCCCGUUCCCAAGAGCCGUGCCCAGGUGAGGCCCCCGGAGGCACAUCCCCUCAGUGCCGAGCCCGCUCCCCGUGCCGGCGCUCCAGCGCAGCCGCCGGCCCGCCCCGGCCCCAAGGCCCCC
ensembl:lncRNA